rnacentral:rRNA from 1 species
GAUGAACGCUGGCGGCGUGCCUAAUACAUGCAAGUCGAGCGAAUGGAUUAAGAGCUUGCUCUUAUGAAGUUAGCGGCGGACGGGUGAGUAACACGUGGGUAACCUGCCCAUAAGACUGGGAUAACUCCGGGAAACCGGGGCUAAUACCGGAUAACAUUUUGAACCGCAUGGUUCGAAAUUGAAAGGCGGCUUCGGCUGUCACUUAUGGAUGGACCCGCGUCGCAUUAGCUAGUUGGGGAGGUAACGGCUCACCAAGGCAACGAUGCGUAGCCGACCUGAGAGGGUGAUCGGCCACACUGGGACUGAAACACGGCCCAGACUCCUCCGGGAGGCAGCAGUAGGGAAUCUUCCGCAAUGGACGAAAGUCUGACGGAGCAACGCCGCGUGAGUGAUGAAGGCUUUCGGGUCGUAAAACUCUGUUGUUAGGGAAGAACAAGUGCUAGUUGAAUAAGCUGGCACCUUGACGGUACCUAACCAGAAAGCCACGGCUAACUACGUGCCAGCCGCCGCAGUAA